rnacentral:misc_RNA from 1 species
UUAAUGGAUGGGUUUUUCUUCACCUCAUAGGUGGAGAAGACAGUUGGUUGGAGGUGCUUGAUAUCAAACGUUGGGAUGACAACAUUUGUCAAUGUCUGGUCGAGUCUUAUAUCUCCUAACUUUUCCUUCACAAUUUGGUGUAAAUAUUUGCCAUCGUACUUGGGUCCUGUCAGUGCCCGGACCAGAUUGGCCACAGGAGCAAAGGGGGAACCGUCG